rnacentral:rRNA from 1 species
ACACGACUACAUUAGAUACCCGCGUAGUCCUGGCCGUAAACGAUGUGGACUUGGUGUUGGAAUGGCUCCGAGCUGCUCCAGUGCCGAAGGGAAGCUGUUAAGUCCACCGCCUGGGAAGUACGGUCGCAAGACUGAAACUUAAAGGAAUUGCGGGGAGCACCACAACGCGUGGAGCCUGCGGUUUAAUUUGGAUUCAACGCCGGACAUCUCACCAGGGCGACAGCAGAAUGAUGGCCAGGUUGAUGACCUUGCUUGACAAGCUG